UACGGAGGGGGCUAGCGUUGUUCGGAAUUACUGGGCGUAAAGCGCGCGUAGGCGGACCUGCAAGUCGGGGGUGAAAGCCCGAGGCUCAACCUCGGAAUUGCGCCUGAAACUACAUGGCUAGAGUACUGGAGAGGGUAGCGGAAUUCAUGGUGUAGCAGUGAAAUGCGUAGAUAUCAUGAGGAACACCAGAGGCGAAGGCGGCUACCUGGACAGUUACUGACGCUCAGGCACGAAAGCGUGGGGAGCAAAAGGG
rnacentral:rRNA from 1 species